UUGGAGAUCGUUGGAAAAUUCCAGUGAGUUGGAUAAGACCAGGACAGGGGAUCUGAAGAAAAACGCUGGAUGACAUCUGGUUGGAUGAAAAAUGGGGACAGUCUGACCCCAAGCAGCUUGCCAGAAGCUAGGAACAGAUGCUUCUCAAGGGGGAAUUGUCAUCAUCGCAUCUCCUGAGUGGCCCAUUUUCUUCUCUAUAGUAGGGUGCACCAUGAAUCCAAUAUGAUAGUAUCCUCAUAAGGAGAGGAGAAGAGACACAAAACCAGACACACCCUGGCAGAUCACCGUGUGACUAUGUAAACAGAGACUGAAGCAAUGUGUCUACAAGCCAAGGAACACCAUGAGUUGCUGGCAAUAAAUAACCCCAAACUACAAAGAGGCAAGGAAGGAAUCUUCCCUAGCACUUUCAGAGAGAACAUGACCCUGCUGACAUCUCGAUUUUGGAUCCCUAGCUCCCAGAACGGUGAUUUGCUCUUGAACAAUUAACAGAGUGAAGGCUGUGUUCCAUCUCCUCACAGUCUCCCGCAGGGCACCCUUGGGAGCACAGGAGGAGAAAGGCUUUCUUCUUGAUCCUAUUACUGCUGCCCAGCAUCAAGAAGGAUUAAUUAACCCACCAGGUUUUGCUUCAUUAUGAGGAAAAAAGAAAAGCCAGUGACAGUGGAAUUCAAACAUUGAAUAGGCAAAGGAAUCAGUGAUCAAGCACCUUAUGAACAUUUCGAAGACUUAGCUGGGCGGUGUGGCGCAAUGUAAAGUGGGGUGACUUGGUGCAAGUUACACACCCUGCAGCCCUGUUUCUUCAUCCUCAGAGUUCACACUUCAAUUCUACAAAUCGAUGGCUUACUCUGAGCUAAGCCCCGCCCACUCUGAACUAAGCCCCACCUACUUUGAUUCCCUGCUCUGUGCUAAGCAACAGUCUUUCAUCCCCAUGAAAGCUUUCUGUCUAGAAGGAACUAAAGAGCAUAAUCACACUUAUUUUCCAAUGCUGUUGUUAGAAUUAAUUAAAUGUGGUAUAGCAU